rnacentral:rRNA from 1 species
GACAGAGGUGCCGAGCGUUAGGCGGAAUCACUGGGCUUAAAGCGUGUGUAGGCGGGCGGGCAAGUACCUUGUGAAAUCCCACGGCUCAACCGUGGAACGGCUGGGUAUACUGCCUGUCUUGAGCCAACUAGGGGCGAGCGGAACAGACGGUGGAGCGGUGAAAUGCGUAGAUAUCGUCUGGAACGCCAAAGGUGAAAACAGCUCGCUGGGGUUGUGCUGACGCUGAGGCGCGAAAGCUAGGGGAGCAAACAGG